rfam:Xenopus laevis strain J chromosome 2L, whole genome shotgun sequence.
CCAAAGGCUCUUUUCAGAGUCACCAACACAGUCACUCUUAAGAGCUGU